rnacentral:rRNA from 1 species
UACAGAGGGUGCAAGCGUUGUUCGGAAUUAUUGGGCGUAAAGGGCGCGUAGGCGGUGCGGUAAGUCUGUAGUGAAAUCUCUGGGCUCAACUCAGAGUCUGCUGCAGAAACUGCCGUGCUUGAGUGCGGGAGAGGUGAGUGGAAUUCCCGGUGUAGCGGUGAAAUGCGUAGAGAUCGGCAGGAACACCCAGGGGGAAACCAGUGGACUGGGCAUGGGCUGACGCUCAGGUGCGAAAGCGUGGGGAGCGAACCGG